rnacentral:lncRNA from 1 species
CCCCACCCCUACCGCUACGGCUGCCGCCCUCUCCGCUGCCUGCCCUUUCCAGCUCCAGAUCCGGAACUCCCCUCGGCUACACCUUUCCCCGGGCUCUUCCCUCCGCUCCUCCCCGUGGCCCCCUCCCCUCUGGCGGCCACCGCAGAGCUCCGACUGACCCGUGUGCCUCGCUCUGCCAGGCUGCCUUCCUCUCUACCUGCCCCCUUCCAGAUCCGCAGUCCCCUGCUCUCCACGCGAGCCCCCUUCACAGUCCCUGCUACCUUGUAACUAACUUGCACUUUUCCCGAGUCCGGUUCUUAGCCUUUGCCCUGCAGCUCAGCUCCUUAAAGCUUUCAGAUCCCCAAACUUUUAUUGUAAUUAUGGACAAUAACUCCGUCCUUAACGCCUGUGCCCUCCGGGAUCCCGUGGCCCGCCGCCCCCUCCGUUGGACCUGGAGUCGCUCUCGUCUGCACCUCUCCCUUAGACCCACUUCCCUGAGCCCCUUGUCGAGAGGCUUUCAGGAAGCCAACCAGGAAGUGGGACUACCGCUGCUGCUGCAGCAGCUCCACGUGGCUGAUUUAUAGCUGAAGGGUUUUUUUUUUUCCUUCUUAUUGAUUGUUCUUGCUUUUUCACACGGCUCCUUAAGGUGGUGAAUUUGUAACCGAAAGGCCCAGGUGAGAUGUGCAAAUAUCACUGGAUUGGAGGAGCUCACUUGGAAAGCCAGUAUUCCUCCUGAGCUAAUGAAAAGAAAGGCUGUCGUCUUAUGCCAAAAGCAAUACCAACCUUGUUCACGGGCUGAGAUCUAGAGUGUGUAAUUCACGAAGUAUGAAUCUGCUGGGUAAUGUGAUAUGAAAAGCGAAUGCACCAUUUCUUGGUGAUGAUUCAGGUCAGCGUUGGGACCCAGGAAUCUCCUGUUAAUCAGUACCCUGGUGAUUUUGAUCCAGGUCAUCAAGACCAUGGCUUCCAUCGUAGGCAGUCACACUCUUUCUCUCUUGGAUCAUUUGCUGUGGGGAAGCAAACUGUCAUAUGAGAGGACACUCAAACAGCCUCUGGAGUCUCAUUUGCUAAGGAACUGAGGACUCCAGCCUGAGAACUCAGGCAAGUAACUGAGGCCUGCCAACAACCAUGGAGAAAGCCUGGAAGUGGAUCCUCCCUCAGCCUUCAGUCGAGACAACAGCUGCAAUGACAGCCAAGCCAGCGCCACCCAGCUUAGCCACCCCCAGAGAACUAACUCUCAGAAACCAUGUAAGAUAAUACAUGUUUGUUGUUUUAAGCUGCUAAGUUUUGGGGUAAUUUAUUAUACAAUAGAUAAUUAAAACACAUAGCAUAUAAAUAAAAUCAAUAAAACCAGUAUGGGUCAGUAAUGAGUAAAUUAGAUAAUUAGACAAAUUUUGACAUUUCUGUUUCUAUGUUAAUUAUUUUUCUUCAGAAAAAUUCUCUACGGGUAAAAUAUGUUAAGAGUGGUUACCAACGGACAUUUUAAAAUUAAUAAUCAGUUUGGGAGGCCAAGGCGGUUGGAUUGCUUUAACUCAGGAGUUUGAGGCCAACCUGGGCAACAUGACAAAACCCUGUCUCUACAAAAAAUACAAAAAUUAGCCAGGCAUGGUCGUGUGUGCCUGUAGUCCCAGCUACUUGGGAAGCUGAGGUGGGAGGAUCAAUUGAGCCUGGGAGGCCAGGCUGCAGUGAGUCAAAAUCAUACCAUCUCAAUCCAGCCUGAGCAACAGAGUGAGACCCUAUCUAAAAUAUAUACAUGUAUAUUAACAAUUAUCUCUUGAAACUAAAGUAUAAUCACAGUACUAGUGUACUAUUUUCCAUUUUAUUAAAUGCACUAAACAGUAUUGCAAUGUGUUUGUGUUUAUUAAAAAAUAUUUUGGAAAUCUUUGGGAGAAAAGCUACUUCAAAUUAGUCUGAAAACUAUCAUUUCCUUCUAGCAAUGUGUAAUAAUGUAAUGACUGCUUAGAAUUUCCUGAGAGGGACUGUAACAUAUAUUUUAAGCAUAAUAUUGUAAACAAACAAGUUCUUUUGCAGUACUUGAAGAUCUUUUUUUGUGACUAUCCCCCUUAUAUAUUAUGAAGAUACAUUUUUUGUGACUAUCCUCUUUAUAUGUAUUGUGAAGAUAAGGUUUUUUAUAGUGAAUAUCCUCCUAAUGCUACUAGUAUUGUUUGCAAUCUGUCAUUAUUCUUAGUGUAAAAUUAAACUUCAACAGAGUACCUGUGUGAACUCUUAACAAUUUUUGAAUUAGUGAAGCCCCAAAUUAAUGAUGCUUUACUAGAUAUAAGGGAACUGGAAAGGCUGAAAUCUCAAGGUAGAGUCAAGGCAGUAAUUCCUAGCAGCCUGUGUUUCUCGGUGUUCUUCAUGCUUCACAGAGGUUGGAAUUCAGCUUCUGGUUUAAGUUGUCUUAAUCUUGACCACAGUGGUAAUUUUACUUUCCCACUCUUUUUUCCUCAACUAGAAUGACUCGGAGAGUUGAGCUAACAGAGGUAGAAUAUUGAUUCGUGAGAUAGGUUCUUAGAGAUAUAAGUGUGCGCAUGGAAGAAGGAGGAAUGGCGUGGAAGAGCAGGUGGAGACGGCCACAGCAGGGCUUAGAAAUUCCCUCUAUCCAAAGCCUGGUUGUGAGGAAUUUGAUAGAAAGGAUUGUGUGGGCUAAGACAUCAGUUUUUAUGGUAAUAUUUGAGGGAGAAAAUUGAGAUCUUGGAAUGCAUUUGAAAAAAAGAUUAGUUUUAAUACAAUUAUCACUUUACCUGAGACCACAUCUCAAAAUCAAAAUCAGUGAUAAUGUCUUUGCAUUAAUGUUGGAAAGACUUAUGCUACUUCUGCAUAAUUUUCUGGUAAAUUAUGUAAUGAGUGGUCAGUAUAAUAGCAUGGUUAUUGUGAAGGGUAAGAUAGUAUGUCAUUUUUUUCCCUCUUAACAUGUAAAGGCUAUUUUCCAUAUUAUACAUACAUUAAUAUUUAUAUGUGAA